UCAAGGAAGUACAGUCAAAUUCCCUUCGUAUUUACAGCCCGUCCCGACAAUGCGGAAGUUUCAAUAAAGUGUGGAUGGCGUGUCAUCCGCAAAGUUGAUGUUGAAAACAGCAGUAGCUCAAAGAGUCAAGGUCUCCUUCCAAUACUGGAACAACAAAUGGACCGAGUUGUUGAUCAUAACUCGGUGCCGAUGACAGGCCUUGGGAGCCCAUGGCAUUUCCAAACCGCAUUCACGAAAGAUGGUCCAAUAACGCUCCCAAACCCACGUUUAUAUCCAAACCUCGGUGAUUGUCUGUGCUCUGAUUGUCAGGAGGGGAUGAUAAGCAUUCUUUUUGAGCGCUCUAGAGUCUAGUCUAGAACCAAAAAGACCAAUCCGGCAAAACGACGAUGAAGGAUCGACAGACAUGGAACGCUGCGUUUUUGCUGAGGGUUCCCAUAUCUAAAUCGAGAUCGCACUUCCAGUCAUCAUCCUCUCCAUAUCCACCACCUCCGUCCUCUUGAUUCCACCAUCUCUGCUCCUCCUUGAAUCGCAAUUCCGUCUUCCUUUGCUGGGCACUAUGGCCGAGAGUCCUGCGAACCUCGGUGAGGUGCUGUCUUCGUCCACGAGCAGUAGGGGCUUCCAUUCCUUGAUGAUGAUGAAGCCAAGCUGAGUUCCACAAGGCAAUAGGGGAUUUUAAUUGUUCCCUGUUACAGGUUUCAAUCUCUAUGCAUAUUGAUUGUAGUUUCUAGGUAUCUGUGGAAUUUGUAUUUAAUGUGUAUAGCUGAGGAUUAUCAAUGGCAUGUGUAGUCUGGAGAUUGGUACUUAUAUUAGAUGUUGCAUUCAGUGGAUUGUUGAUUGAUUUGUGGCACUUUCUUUGCUAUUUU